rnacentral:rRNA from 1 species
CAGCAGCCACGGUAAUACAGAGGGUGCGAGCGUUAAUCGGAUUUACUGGGCGUAAAGCGUGCGUAGGCGGCUUCUUAAGUCGGAUGUGAAAUCCCUGAGCUUAACUUAGUAAUUGCAUUCGAUACUGGGAAGCUAGAGUAUGGGAGAGGAUGGUAGAAUUCCAGGUGUAGCGGUGAAAUGCGUAGAGAUCUGGAGGAAUACCGAUGGCGAAGGCAGCCAUCUGGCCUAAUACUGACGCUGAGGUACGAAAGCAUGGGGAGCAAACAGGAUUAGAUACCCCUGUAGUCCCUGUCUCUUAUAC